UAGGGAAUAUUGCACAAUGGGGGAAACCCGUAGCAUGCAGCGACGCCGCGUGAAGGAAGAAGUAUCUCGGUAUGUAAACUUCUAUCAGCAGGGAAGACAAUGACGGUACCUGACUAAGAAGCCCCGGCUAACUACGUGCCAGCAGCCGCGGUAAUACGUAGGGGGCAAGCGUUAUCCGGAUUUACUGGGUGUAAAGGGAGCGUAGACGGAUCUGCAAGUCUGGAGUGAAAGCCCGGGGGCCCAACCCCAGGCAGCUGCUUUGGAAAUACUGUGGAUCUAGAGUGCCGGAGAGGUAAGCGGAAUUCCUAGUGUAGCGGUGAAAUGCGUAGAUAUUAGGAGGAACACCAGUGGCGAAGGCGGCUUACUGGACGGUAACUGACGUUGAGGCUCGAAAGCGUGGGGAGCAAACAGGAUUAGAUACCC
rnacentral:rRNA from 1 species